UCAGUCCCAGAGGAAAGGCCUGUCCUCCAAGCCAAUGUGCAGCCUGACUCUGGGGCCAGCGCCUGAGGAAGCCCUCCCUGAGCCCCAGCCCUGGGGAAGGCUGAAGAGGCCUCUGAGCCCCCAGCGCUGGGGAGAGCUGUGCAGAAUAGGACUGGAGGUGGAAGUGUUGGAGAUUAACAGCCAGGUGGAGGGGACGGGGGAGGCCCUGGGUCAGUCCUCAGGGAACCCCCAUUGUGAAGGGGGAAAGGGAAACUCAGGCCCAGUCCUCAGGGGCCCCCAGUCUGAGAGGAAGGAGGACACACGAGCCAUAUUUGCAGAGAAACACCAGCCUGCGAGAGGAGGUAGAAGCCCAGGCCUGGCCCUCCGAGGGCCCCUAGUCUGAGGAGCAGUCCACCUGUCCUCGGGAAAACACCUCCCUUAGGAAAGGCCAGCAAGGCCCCCGUAAAGGACCCAGAGCUGGAUCGGGACAUCGGGCUCGGGGCUCAGCGGUGUGGGAGCUCCGGGACCGAGGUGCAGUCAGGAGAGACCCUGGGGGCCAGCAGCAGUCCCAGAGGACUUUUGGAGCCAAGGCCUGACUGGGUCUCAAACAAUGGGGCAGGCAGUUUGGGGUUUCAGCAGGUGGCCCAGUGCUGAGACACAAGGGAGGUGUUUCUGGUCUGCAGACACUGAGGACGCUUGCUAUGUGGCGUGGUGGACGGUGGGGCUUGACCCUGGGGACUGAGAGGUGGAGAAGACACAGUCCCAUCUGUCUCACGGCAGAGACAGGUAAGCAGCAGGUGACUUAGGACACACCAGAUAGGCUGGAAGGAAUACAGACGGGGCUAUCCCAAGCUGGAGGGGUACAAGGGUCUUCCGUUAGAGGUGACGUGGGAACUGAGUUUUCCAAAACGAGCAGGGGGAUGGGGCACCGGGGCAUUUGAAGCUUGAUGGGAUUGUGAGAAAACCUGGGAACUGCGAGUGACUUGCAGAGGGCUGCGGAAGUGGGCAGGGAUAGACCAUGAAGGGCUUUGUCAGCCAGGCCAAGGAGUUCUGACUUUAACCCGAGGGCCUGAGGAGCCUGCAAAGGGUUCUAAACAAAGAGAAGAGCAACAGGGUCAACCUGAGGUCCCUGAGGCCCCAGGGCAUCCAGCAGGCAGAGGCGCAGUUGGGCCUGGGCUGGGGAGAGGAGUCUAGCUGGAGAAAGAGAAGAGGAGAUAUCAGCCCCUGGACAUUCAGCACUAGAGUUGCUGGGGCUGCCCAAGAAGCACAGGGAGUGAGGCAAGGGCCAGGGCCAGGAUUCUGGGGAAGAAGGAUGACGAAGAAGGAGUGGGUGUGGAAGGAGCUGGAAACCCAGACACAGGGCUGCCCAGAGGCUGAUGGGAGCCAGUAGGGGGCUGUUGCCCCAGAGUUGGGUGCUGGGAGGGGCUGGCCAGGCAGGUGUUUGCAGACAGCUGCCUGGAUGAGCUGGUGGGGAUAGAGGGUGGCAACAGCACUGAAGAAGCAGAGGCUGAGGAGGCAGAAAGUUCAACUGCAGAGAGAAGAGAGGCAGCUAAAGGGGCCACCAAGGUUUGGGGGCACACGUGAAGGUUUGACAUAUAGUAAACACAUGUCAUGGUGGUUUGUUGUACAGAUUAUUACAUCACCCAGGGUUUCACUCCCGUCACCCAGACUGGAGUACAAUGGUGCGAUCUCAGCUCACUGCAACCUCU
rnacentral:lncRNA from 1 species